rnacentral:rRNA from 1 species
UGGGGAAUAUUGCACAAUGGGCGAAAGCCUGAUGCAGCAACGCCGCGUGAGUGAUGAAGGCCUUCGGGUUGUAAAGCUCUGUCUUUUGGGACGAUAAUGACGGUACCAAAGGAGGAAGCCACGGCUAACUACGUGCCAGCAGCCGCGGUAAUACGUAGGUGGCAAGCGUUGUCCGGAUUUACUGGGCGUAAAGGAUGCGUAGGCGGAUUUUUAAGUGAGAUGUGAAAACCCUAAGCUUAACUUGGGGACUGCAUUUCAUACUGGAAAUCUAGAGUGCGGGAGAGGAGAAUGGAAUUCCUAGUGUAGCGGUGAAAUGCGUAGAGAUUAGGAAGAACACCAGUGGCGAAGGCGAUUCUCUGGACCGUAACUGACGCUGAGGCAUGAAAGCGUGGGUAGCAAACAGGAUUAGAUACCCUGGUAGUCCACGCCGUAAACGAUGAGUACUAGGUGUAGGAGGUAUCGACCCCUUCUGUGCCGCAGUUAACACAAUAAGUACUCCGCCUGGGAAGUACGAUCGCAAGAUUAAAACUUAAAGGAAUUGACGGGGGUCAUAGCUGUUUU